rnacentral:rRNA from 1 species
UACGUGGGGUGCAGGCGUUAAUCGGAAUUACUGGGUGUAAAGCGUGCGCAGGCGGUUUCUUAAGUCAGAUGUGAAAGCCCCGGGCUUAACCUGGGAACUGCGUUUGAAACUGGGAGACUUGAGUGUGGCAGAGGGGGGUGGAAUUCCACGUGUAGCAGUGAAAUGCGUAGAUAUGUGGAGGAACACCGAUGGCGAAGGCAGCCCCCUGGGUUAACACUGACGCUCAUGCACGAAAGCGUGGGGAGCAAACAGG